GUGACUCUAAGACCAGGAUUCAACACACCUAGAAGGCUUUGACUCUGAUACCAGUCACAGAAGGCUCUGUGACUCUUCUAUUUUCUCUAGGUCAUGCAAAUGGAGGCGGAUUUUGACAUAUCAUAAAGCCAACAUAAUACACAGUCUGCAGGUGGAAUUGGGACUCUCAUGCAUGGAUCCAGUUCAUCAUUGAUACUGUGACUCAUGUACUUGGAUGCAACUCACAGGAGGUGUUGACGCUUUUUACCUGAAGCUGGGACAUGUGUGGAAUUGUGAAUCCUAGCCCUAGAUCUUCCCACAGGGAUCGUUGACAUUUCGGGAUGUGGCCAUACAAUUCUCUCUGGAGGAGUGGCAAUGCCUGGACACUGCACAGCAGAAUUUAUAUAGGAAUGUGAUGUUAGAGAACUACAGAAACCUGGUCUUCCUGGGUGAGAAUAACUUUAAUACGCAAUUCCUAGUAUACACUAUAGGUUUCAUUUUGCUGUGGACUUUAUUG
rnacentral:lncRNA from 1 species